GUCGCUACUACCGAUUGAAUGGCUUAGUGAGGCCUUCGGAUUGGGCCCGAAGAGCGGGCAACCGCAUUUUGGGCUUGAGAAGUCGGUCAAACUUGGUCAUUUAGAGGAAGUAAAAGUCGUAACAAGGUUUCC
rnacentral:rRNA from 1 species